GUGCUUGCUUCAGCAGCACAUGUACUAAAACUGGAACAAUAAAGAGAAAAUUAGCAUGGCCCCUUUGCAAGGAUGCCAUGCAAAUUUGUGAAACACUGCAUAUUAAA
rnacentral:snRNA from 1 species